rnacentral:rRNA from 1 species
GGGGAAUUUUGGACAAUGGGCGCAAGCCUGAUCCAGCCAUGCCGCGUGUCUGAAGAAGGCCUUCGGGUUGUAAAGGACUUUUGUCAGGGAAGAAAAGGCCGUUGCUAAUAUCAGCGGCUGAUGACGGUACCUGAAGAAUAAGCACCGGCUAACUACGUGCCAGCAGCCGCGGUAAUACGUAGGGUGCGAGCGUUAAUCGGAAUUACUGGGCGUAAAGCGGGCGCAGACGGUUACUUAAGCAGGAUGUGAAAUCCCCGGGCUCAACCCGGGAACUGCGUUCUGAACUGGGUGACUCGAGUGUGUCAGAGGGAGGUAGAAUUCCACGUGUAGCAGUGAAAUGCGUAGAGAUGUGGAGGAAUACCGAUGGCGAAGGCAGCCUCCUGGGACAACACUGACGUUCAUGCCCGAAAGCGUGGGUAGCAAACAGGAUUAGAUACCCUGGUAGUCCACGCCCUAAACGAUGUCAAUUAGCUGUUGGGCAACCUGAUUGCUUGGUAGCGUAGCUAACGCGUGAAAUUGACCGCCUGGGGAGUACGGUCGCAAGAUUA